GAUCGCUUAAGGAUUAAGUUUUGAAUGCUUACCACAAGCAACCUGUUACUCACUGCAAAGUGACAUUGAUGAGUUAAAGGAAGCAUGCAGACUGGAGUAUUCACUUCCUGGAGCUGCCUGGAGAAGUAUUACAUACAUCCAACAGUUUAAAACAACAUAGAAGGUCACCGUUUUAUGGUUGUAGCAAGCAGAAGUCUGAAGCCAAAGUGUUAGCAGGAUCAAGUUCCUGUGAAAGUGAUCGGGUCUCACUAUGUAGCCCUGGCUGGACUAGUACUCUAUAUGCAGACCACGAUGGCCUGGAACCCACAGAGAUUUGCUUGCUUCUGUCCCUUGAGUGCUGAAAUUAAAGGUGUAUGCCACAGUACUCCAAUUUCUUGAAUGGUGUCAGAGUUUAGGUAUAAAUAGAUAUCAAGAACAGAUGUAAAAUUCUUGAAGGGCAUUGUGUCUUCAUUGUCAUUCUAUACAGAGACAGAGAGGGAAACAAGUAUUGCAAGCAGAGAAGAAAACAGACAAGCAAACAACAACAACAACAACAACAAAAACAAGCUCAAAACUUAACUAACAAAAGCCCUGGUCUGGAAGCAGGAAUUCUGAGUUCUAUUUCCCUGUAUCAAUUAAUAUGUGAUGUGAUUUUUUUUUGGGGGGAGGUAUGGCUGAAGUUGGGAUAGUUCUAAAUUUAAAAUAACAAUGCCCAGUUAUUUUACUGCUUCUUUACACUCAACACAUCAAGUAUGUUUCUAGAAACUGGACUCAGAAGACCUGGAUACAUCCAAACACAGCCUAAAAGACUGUUUUUUUCCUAGAAGCCCC
rnacentral:lncRNA from 1 species